GAUGAACGCUGGCGGCGUGCCUAAUACAUGCCAGUCGAGCGAACAGAUAAGGAGCUUGCUCCUUUGACGUUAGCGGCGGACGGGUGAGUAACACGUGGGUAACCUACCUAUAAGACUGGGAUAACUUCGGGAAACCGGAGCUAAUACCGGAUAAUAUUUCGAACCGCAUGGUUCGAUAGUGAAAGAUGGUUUUGCUAUCACUUAUAGAUGGACCCGCGCCGUAUUAGCUAGUUGGUAAGGUAACGGCUUACCAAGGCGACGAUACGUAGCCGACCUGAGAGGGUGAUCGGCCACACUGGAACUGAGACACGGUCCAGACUCCUACGGGAGGCAGCAGUAGGGAAUCUUCUGCAAUGGGCGAAAGCCUGACGGAGCAACGCCGCGUGAGUGAUGAAGGUCUUCGGAUCGUAAAACUCUGUUAUUAGGGAAGAACAUACGUGUAAGUAACUGUGCACGUCUUGACGGUACCUAAUCAGAAAGCCACGGCUAACUACGUG
rnacentral:rRNA from 1 species